GAUGAACGCUAGCUACAGGCUUAACACAUGCAAGUCGAGGGGUAGCACAGAGGAAGCUUGCUUCUUUGGGUGACGACCGGCGCACGGGUGAGUAACGCGUAUCCGACCUACCCAUAACACGGGCACAGCCGCUCGAAAGAGUGAUUGAUUCCCGAUAUGUCAUUAGAGUAGAUUUAAUGAUGAAAGAUUCAUCGGUUAUGGAUGGGGAUGCGUAAGAUUAGGUAGUAGGCGGGGUAACGGCCCACCUAGCCGACGAUCUUUAGGGGUUCUGAGAGGAAGGUCCCCCCACACUGGUACUGAGACACGGACCAGACUCCUACGGGAGCAGCAGUGAGGAAUAUU
rnacentral:rRNA from 1 species